UACGGAGGGGGCUAGCGUUGUUCGGAAUUACUGGGCGUAAAGCGUGCGUAGACGGUAGCGUAAGUCGGGUGUGAAAGCCCCGGGCUCAACCUGGGAAUUGCAUUCGAGACUGCUCUGCUAGGGUGCGGAAGAGGGAAGCGGAAUUUCCGGUGUAGCGGUGAAAUGCGUAGAUAUCGGAAGGAACACCAGUGGCGAAAGCGGCUUCCUGGUCCAGCACCGACGUUCAGGCACGAAAGCGUGGGGAGCAAACAGG
rnacentral:rRNA from 1 species